AAAAAGACAAAGGUUGGUGUUGCUCCCAUUAAUUUUGUAAAACAAGAAAAAGAUAGAGAUAUAGUUAAUGGCUAAUAAUCUAAAUAUAUAACUCACUGCUUGAGAAAGUGGAUGAAGUAAGAUAACUUGGGUGGGCUAUUUGGUAUAUAACUUAAAAUUUAAUUAAUGGGCCUUUUGAUCCACCCAUUUUGUUUUUCUUUUGUAACUCCCACUUACACUGUUCAGUCAACAAAUAAAAACAAAUUUGUGGUAUCUUUCAAUCUUGUUGUGGGAUUUUCGCAUUUCGAUGUAUUCGAUGGUGGCCAAAACUAAGAUUAAAUGGUAAAAAGAUUUUUUCCUUAAUUUUUAAAAAGAUUUGAUUAUAUUUUCUGAUUUGAAAACUUUUACUAUAUCUAUAACUUCAAAAAACCGCAAAUUCUUACAAGCCUCAUAUAUCUUAUCCUAUUCCGACAAGUACCUAAACAACAUUACUACAAAUUAUACAUUUCACACUAUAGAGUUCAAAUAUGUGAACUUGGGCCAAGUCAUUUGAUUGAGGAAAUAUAUAAUAUGAUCCACAAGAUCCUUGAAUAUACUCUUGAGUAAAAAAACAAAAGAAUAUUCGAGACCUCUUAUCAAGAAUCCUAUCCUAAAGAAAGCACAUCCACUUAUGUUUCCAUCACUAGAUUUCAAGUGGGUCAUCAUCAUCUUUUACUUCAAGAUAUUGUUUAGUCUAAACCUCUCAAACCUCCUUAAUCGUGUGAUCUAAUCUAUCUUAUGUGUUUCUUCAACUUGUAAAUUUUCAUAUUUGUUGAGUCACAUUGUCCUAUUUUCUUUAAUGUUCAUAUGCAAUUCAAAUUUCAAGAGAUAUUAUAGAACAUUACAUAUUUAUUUCAUCAGAUAGUUGAGAAUCCGAUAGAAAAUGUCUCGCAAACCGGAAAACAAACGUUAAAUCCGGAAAUUAAAACUUUAGAUAAAAAUUAAAAAGAAAAAAGGAAAAAGCAGAAAUUGAUAUAAAAUCAAAGGUGGAGGAGGGGAUGAGAUAAAGUUUUUGAUAUGUUUUACAAGAAACAAAGCAAAGCAAAGAGAGAGAUUAAGCAUCGGUGAAGCGAGGGGGCUUGUAGGCAAUGAAACUGAUGCACUGCACUUGACGGGUGUUGUCGAAUCCGAUGAUCCUGAUGAAGGCUUCAGGGUACUCCUUCUUGCACUCGUUAACUUCCUUCAACACUUGUGCUGAGUCAGUGCAUCCGAACAAGGGUAGCUUCCACAUUGUCCAGUACCUUCCAUCGUAGUAUCCGGGGGUGUUACCGUGCUCACGGUGCACAAACCCGUUCUAUAAUAUAAAAAAAAACCAAACCACACAUGUUACGACCACAACAACAACAACAACAACAAAAGUCCAAGAUCUAAGCUAGUUUAUGUUUUUUUCUUACCUCCAACUCGAAUUCAACACAGGGAAUCCACUUGUUGCGGAGGAGGUAGUCAACUUCCUUUCCCAACUCGACCUCGGAAAGGUCAGGAAGGUAAGAGAGAGUCUCGAACUUCUUCUUUCCGAUCGGAGGCCACACCUUUGAGAUUCAGACAAAACAACAUAUGAGUUCAUGUAAUUCGAACGAAAAAAGAAGAAGAAGAAAAAAGAUGUAUGACCUUCAUGCAGCUAACUCUUCCGCCGUUGCUUGUGAUGGAAGUAAUGUCGUUGUUGGCCUUGCGGGUGGAAGGGAAAGCAGCGGAGGACUUAAGUCCGGUGAAAGGAGCGACCAUAGUGGCCUGAGCCGGGGAGGCAACCAUUGUAGCGGAAGAGAGCAUAGAGGAAGCCAUUGUGUUCUUUCUCUUUUACUCUUUUGUGUGACUGAGGUUCUGUCUAGUGCUUUGGUCAUCUAUAUAUAAUGAUAAUAACAAUGAUAACAAUCACUUGAGUGAUCGUAGGGUCGAGGAAUCAUGAGGCUUGAGUGGGAAAGGAUUUAGACCGUUGGAUGAUGAGUGUGUGGAUAUGUGUGUGUGUGUGAGGUUUUAAGUCACUUGGUAACGGCCACAGAAGCCUAAGGUAAGGUCCUGAGAGACCCUUAUCGGUUUGUAACGCUAGAACAGUGCCACGUGGAAGAUAAAUCUUAUCGUUAUCUAUGAGUG
rnacentral:lncRNA from 1 species